UAAACAUUGAUAUCUUUUACACUAACUAUCCGCCCGGGUACUACAAGCAUUAGCUUUAAACCCAAAGGACUUGGCGGUGCUUAAGAUCCCCCUAGAGGAGCCUGUUCUAUAACCGAUAACCCACGUUUAACCUCACCCCCCCUUGUUUUUUCCGCCUAUAUACCGCCGUCGUCAGCUUACCCCGUGAAGGUCUAAUAGUGAGCAAAAAUGGCACAGCCUAAAACGUCAGGUCGAGGUGUAGCGUAUGGGGGGGGAAAGAAAUGGGCUACAUUCCCUAAAGAUAGGAGUAAAACGGAUAAUAUAUUGAAACAUAUAUUUUAAGGAGGAUUUAGCAGUAAGCGGAAGUUAGUAUGCUCCACUGAAUCCGGCCCUAAAGCGCGC
rnacentral:rRNA from 1 species